UUAUCUCUGUAGAGUCUGCAUAUCAAUAAGCGGAGGAAAAGAAACUAACUAGGAUUCCCUUAGUAACGGCGAGUGAAGCGGGAAGAGCUCAAAUUUGAAAUCUUCAAGGUUUUACCUUGACGAAUUGUAGUUUAAAGAAGUGUUUUCUGUUGGAGUUUUGGUAAAAGUUCUUUGGAAUAGGACAUCAUAGAGGGUGAGAAUCCCGUAUUUGACCAUUACUUUCCAGCGUUGUGAUACACUUUCAAAGAGUCGGAUUGUUUGGGAAUGCAGUCCAAAAUGGGUGGUAAAUUUCAUCUAAAGCUAAAUACUGGCGAGAGACCGAUAGCGAACAAGUACCGUGAGGGAAAGAUGAAAAGAACUUUGAAAAGAGAGUUAAACAGUACGUGAAAUUGUCAAAAGGGAAGCGUUUGACACCAGUGUUGUUUUCUCGAAAAUCAAUUAAAAAUGGCGGGAUUUUGUGUUGUAUUGACUUUAUCAGCUUUCUGCACUUUUUUCCUGUCUUUUUUAAUGCACUUUUCGUUUAACAAGUCAACAUCAAUUUCUUUUGUUGUAAAAGGGUCAUUGGAAGGUGGCUUUCUUUUCGGAGAAAGUGUUUAUAGCCUUUGGCCUCUGCAAUCGGAGAGAUUGAGGUCUGCAGCGUAGAUCCUUCGGGGUUAGAUACAUUUGUGCUAAGUUAUAGCCUUUCAUAGACAACUUGUUGACUAUGAUCAGUCAUGUAGCUUACUCGCUUAUGCUAUUUUACCUACGCUUAGGAUGUUGAGUCAUCACACAUCUCU
rnacentral:rRNA from 1 species